AUUGAACGCUGGCGGCAGGCCUAACACAUGCAAGUCGAGCGGAUGAAGGGAGCUUGCUCCUGGAUUCAGCGUCGGAAGGGUGAGUAAUGCCUAGGAAUCUGCCUGCUAGUGGGGGAUAACGUCCGGAAACGGGCGCUAAUACCGCCUACGUCCUGAGGGAGCAAGUGGGGGUUCUUCGGAACUUAUGCUCUCCUAUGAUCCUAGGCCGGGUUAACUAGUUGGUGGGGUAAAGGCCUACCAAGGCGACUAUUCGCAACUGGUCAGAGAGAGUGGUCGGUCACACUGGAGGGUGGACACGGUCCAGACUACUACGGGAGGCACCAGAGGGGAAUAUUGGACAGUGGGCGAAAACCUUGUCCAGCCAUGCCGCGUGUGUGAAGAAGGUGUUCGGAUUGGGAAGCACUUUAAGUUGGGAGAAAGGGCAGUAAGUUAAUACCUUGCGGUUUUGACGUUACCAACAGAAUAAGCACCGGCUAACUUCGUG
rnacentral:rRNA from 1 species